UACGCUGGCGGAGGCCUACACAUGCAAGUCGAGCGGAUGAGUGGAGCUUGCUCCAUGAUUCAGCGGCGGACGGGUGAGUAAUGCCUAGGAAUCUGCCCGGUAGUGGGGGAUAACGUCCGGAAACGGGCGCUAAUACCGCAUACGUCCUACGGGAGAAAGCAGGGGACCUUCGGGCCUUGCGCUAUCGGAUGAGCCUAGGUCGGAUUAGCUAGUUGGUGAGGUAAUGGCUCACCAAGGCGACGAUCCGUAACUGGUCUGAGAGGAUGAUCAGUCACACUGGAACUGAGACACGGUCCAGACUCCUACGGGAGGCAGCAGUGGGGAAUAUUGGACAAUGGGCGAAAGCCUGAUCCAGCCAUGCCGCGUGUGUGAAGAAGGUCUUCGGAUUGUAAAGCACUUUAAGU
rnacentral:rRNA from 1 species